rfam:Dichomitus squalens LYAD-421 SS1 unplaced genomic scaffold DICSQscaffold_2, whole genome shotgun sequence.
GGCGCUAUAGCCAAGUGGUUACGGCGACAGAUUAGAAUCUCGGAUUAUCUGUUUCCCUUUGGGAGCGCAGGUUCGAGUCCUGCUGGCGUCG